GUUGACUAUGUGCCUGGUUCUCGUGAGUGCAUUAUAACAUUUCGAGUUGCAGAAAUCGCUGCAAAAUUCUACCAGAAAAUGAACAGGAGAAUGAAGUCUCCAGCUUCACAUCAUGCACCAAAUUAAUCAAGAGGUACAAUAGUAACUCUGCCCUGCCUCUGUCAUGCCACGGCUCCUCCAUAAAGAAAAGAAAAAAAUCCCGGAAUGUCAUCACUUGGCUUAAUGAAGAAGAUGCCUGCUGUCACUGCUGCCACCUGUUAGUGUUUGACUGAAAUAGGUGUACCAUGGAAAGGAAGCAAGAUGAUAGCAUUGUUGCUUCUUUUUAUUUAGCCAGAUUAUAGUGCAAUGAGAUCUGAAAUGUUAUAUAAUCAGAGUAUGAUUAAAAUGGUUAUUGUUAUGAUCUCCUUAUGGUUGAUAUUUCCUUAGAGAUGCCUUUAUGUGUGUAUGGAAAGUGAACCAGGUAUGGGAGUGAUCAUGGCACAUAAUCAACAAUGAACAACAAAUAAAAAGACACUGAAAGCACUUGUUAUUAUGCAUCAUCACUGUAUUCACUAACCCACUAUAAUGGGUGUGUUUAGGUGCCUAGGCUGUUGAUGAUUACAUAGCUGAUAUUGCCCUGCAGAUGAUACAUUUCUUCAAGUUGUCUAUACAGUAUCUGAUAUGAUUUGCAGAUCAAUUGGCUAUGAAUCAUGCCAAACUGGACACCAUUGUUGCUGGAAGAAUUAGAUUUAUUUUUCUUUUACAUUUCUCAGAUGUUUGAUGCCUUUUUGCUCUACCUGUAGUACCUUCUCUUCCUUGAAGGGUUAGCCUCAUGUAGAAGAUUUUAAAGAUAAUCAUGUUCAGUAAUUCCAGCAAAUAGAAACAAGUGCUAAUUUUAUUCAUGAAGAUGUUCAAUACAUAGCUCAUAUUUCAAAACUAUGAGUUAGGUAAUCUUGACAUGUUGAAGGUCAAUACACAGUCUGUUUGACUCAUUUUAUGCUGCUGUUGCUGUUCUGUUGAUGUCAUAAUUCAUUAUGAAUUGUUGUGGUGUCCUAAUUACAACUGGCUGCUGCUGCUGUGUUGUUCUAGUGGGCAAGAAAACUUCUGUAGUUGGAAUUUAUAUGUAAUUUGCAUUCAUGUGAUGCAACUAGGAUUAGGUUGUUUUCCAGAAGCAGUUUAUUCCAGUUUAUACAAGCACCAACUGUAUUAACUAAUUGUCUAGGUCAGAAAAAUACAGUACAUAUUGUAUUAGCAUGAGAUUAUGCUGCUUGCUAAGUGGAUCUUUUGUUUGUAAUUUUGAUGAUAUUAAUUACUUAGCUGUUUAGAUGUUUUUAAGUCUUUAGUUUUAUCAGCCAUUUAGAACUUCAGUUUAUUACAAGUUACUUAUGAUAAACAGCUUUUCUCCUUGUACUGCAAAUUUAUCUCGGUACAGAAUGACCUUGCAGUGUGUAAAAGUGUGCCUGUACUGCUGGCAUCAUAUUCUUAUAAUACAUUAUAUUUGAACUGACUGUUUGUCUUGAUAUCUUUAUCCAGAAAUGUAUACAGUACAGUACUCUAUAUUUAGUUCAUAUGUAAGUGUUGAUGGUGUGACAUUAAAAACACACAUGCA
rnacentral:lncRNA from 1 species